rnacentral:rRNA from 1 species
AGUGAACGCUGGCGGUAGGCCUAACACAUGCAAGUCGAACGGCAGCACAGUAAGAGCUUGCUCUUACGGGUGGCGAGUGGCGGACGGGUGAGGAAUACAUCGGAAUCUACUUUUUCGUGGGGGAUAACGUAGGGAAACUUACGCUAAUACCGCAUACGACCUACGGGUGAAAGCAGGGGAUCUUCGGACCUUGCGCGAUUGAAUGAGCCGAUGUCGGAUUAGCUAGUUGGCGGGGUAAAGGCCCACCAAGGCGACGAUCCGUAGCUGGUCUGAGAGGAUGAUACGCCACACUGGAACUGAGACACGGUCCAGACUCCGACGGGAGGCAGCAGUGGGGAAUAUUGGACAAUGGGCGCAAGCCUGAUCCAGCCAUACCGCGUGGGUGAAGAAGGCCUUCGGGUUGUAAAGCCCUUUUGUUGGGAAAGAAAAGCAGCAGGUUAAUACCCCGCUGUUCUGACGGUACCCAAAGAAUAAGCACCGGCUAACUUCGUG